UGGGGUGUGGCUCAACAGUAGGGCACUCACCUAGCAUGUGCAAGGCCCUGGGUUUGAUCCUCAGCACUUCAU
rnacentral:tRNA from 1 species